rnacentral:rRNA from 1 species
GGGGCCGCACAAGCGUGGAGCAUGUGGUUAAUUCGAAGCAACGCGAAGAACCUUACCAGGUCUUGACAUCCCGAUGCUAUUUCUAGAGAUAGAAAGUUACUUCGGUACAUCGGUGACAGGUGGUGCAUGGUUGUCGUCAGUUCGUGUCGUGAGAUGUUGGGUUAAGUCCCGCAACGAGCGCAACCCCUAUUGUUAGUUGCCAUCAUUCAGUUGGGCACUCUAGCGAGACUGCCGGUAAUAAACCGGAGGAAGGUGGGGAUGACGUCAAAUCAUCAUGCCCCUUAUGACCUGGGCUACACACGUGCUACAAUGGUUGGUACAACGAGUUGCGAGUCGGUGACGGCGAGCUAAUCUCUUAAAGCCAAUCUCAGUUCGGAUUGUAGGCUGCAACUCGCCUACAUGAAGUCGGAAUCGCUAGUAAUCGCGGAUCAGCACGCCGCGGUGAAUACGUUCCCGGGCCUU